rnacentral:rRNA from 1 species
AGUUAGCCACCUGGGGAGUACGUUCGCAAGAAUGAAACUCAAAGGAAUUGACGGGGGCCCGCACAAGCGGUGGAUUAUGUGGUUUAAUUCGAUGAUACGCGAGGAACCUUACCAAGGCUUAAAUGGGAAAUGACAGGUUUAGAAAUAGACUUUUCUUCGGACAUUUUUCAAGGUGCUGCAUGGUUGUCGUCAGCUCGUGCCGUGAGGUGUUAGGUUAAGUCCUGCAACGAGCGCAACCCCUGUCACUAGUUGCCAUCAUUAAGUUGGGGACUCUAGUGAGACUGCCUACGCAAGUAGAGAGGAAGGUGGGGAUGACGUCAAAUCAUCACGGCCCUUACGCCUUGGGCCACACACGUAAUACAAUGGCCGGUACAGAGGGCAGCUACACAGCGAUGUGAUGCAAAUCUCGAAAGCCGGUCUCAGUUCGGAUUGGAGUCUGCAACUCGACUCUAUGAAGCUGGAAUCGCUAGUAAUCGCGCAUCAGCCAUGGCGCGGUGAAUACGUUCCCGGGCCUUGUACACACCGCCCGUCAAGCCAUGGAAGUCUGGGGUACCUGAAGUCGGUGACCGUAACAGGAGCUGC